UACGAAGGGGGCUAGCGUUGUUCGGAAUCACUGGGCGUAAAGCGCACGUAGGCGGAUUUUUAAGUCAGGGGUGAAAUCCCGAGGCUCAACCUCGGAACUGCCUUUGAUACUGAGAGUCUCGAGACCGGAAGAGGUAAGUGGAACUGCGAGUGUAGAGGUGAAAUUCGUAGAUAUUCGCAAGAACACCAGUGGCGAAGGCGGCUUACUGGUCCGGUUCUGACGCUGAGGCACGAAAGCGUGGGGAGCAAACAGG
rnacentral:rRNA from 1 species